AUUCCACAUUCAAAAUAAAUCACAAUUUAAAGCCAUAACAUUUUGAAAAGGUAAAGGAGAAUCUGUGUCACAGCUGCAUUAAUAAAACACACUGCUCUAAAGUGCAACACUAAACAGGUGUUCUCUGUUCCCAAGGUGGAAUAAAUACAUAACAAUUACACAUAAAAUUUCACUAGUGAUCGGAGAUGAGGCAAAUAACCCUUGGAAACAAACUGCCCGAUGAAUAGAGGCAGGCAACAAAUAAUUUUUCUUAACAUUUUGUCACAAGAAGGAAAAAUCCCUAAGGUGUCUACUAACUCAAACUCCUGUUUCAUGCUCCUGGCCUUGGCUUCUGUCUUCCUUCCUCAGUCACAUCCAAAUCCAGAAAGGCUUCUGCACCCCAUGCUCAAAAACACCACCAUAAGUCCCUAAGGAUCUCCGCACAGACUGCUGUUAAUGAGCCUGUGUGCAACCUUCAUCCAGAACCUCCAGGGAAAUCAGGAGCUCAAAGAGCAGCAGCAUUUCUUUAAACAAUAGUCUUAACUAUCCAAUGAGCUCUGAUGGACCAUAUGCAUUUCAUAAACAAACCAAAAUACAGCCUUAAUAUCUAUUUUUCUGGGAAAAUGUUAAGUAAACCAUUCGAGUAAAAAAGAAAAUGUUUACACAACAAUGAAAAAUGAAAAUUCAAAGGGUUUAUGCCAAAAAGCAAACCAGUCCUCUGCAGGCUAACUCAUUUGUUUUUGGGCUGCGAAGCCAUGUAGAGAGCAAUCAGGCAGUAGAUGGUCCCUCCCACUGUCAGCGCCAUGGUGGUCCGGUACAACAUUUGGUCAGGCAGGCCUCGUUUUAGGUGGAUGGGCACACCGUCGGACUUCUGGAAAGCAAGGAUUAUCAAGGACAUGGUUAAUAAGAAGACUUUACAGUUUAGGCUAAUAGGUCUUCAUAACUAAGCCAUCAACACACUGCAGGGGAAAAACCCCCAAUCCCUUACAAUCCUGACUCAACAGUGGUGUACAUUUUCUUAAAUACGCAACUAAAGCUUGGAAGGCCAAAGUCAUUCUCCAAAAUGGGGCCUCAGGAACCUGCAUGCAACAAAUUUCAAGUUUCUAAGGAAUUUAUCAUAUAUUGCUUAACUAGGCCAGUCGCACUGGUGAAUUUCUUUUAAAGGCAAAAGUAACCCACAGCUAAAUGACUGCAGGCACAAGACAUGCUCCACAUUUAGUUUGACUUCUGAUCAUUAGUCAGUGAUGUCUGAGCACACCAGGUCAGUUAGUAGGCUCAAGUCCAUGUUGUAUUCAGUUUCUUUCCAUUAAGCUGGUAAACCCUUGUUUAAAAAGAAAAAGACUCUAGGGGCACCUGGCUGGCUCAGCUGGUAGAGCACGUAACUCUUAAUCUCAGGGUUGUGAGUUCAAACCCUGGGCCUGGAGCCUACUUAAAAAGAUAACAAAACCUUUAAAAAAGAGAGUCUCCAUAAAAUGUUUAAUCCAUUAUUUUGCGCAGUCUCCAAACUCCCUCCCCCACUAUAACUCAAGACUCCAAAUGCCCAAUCAAGUCUUAUUUAUCAGAUUAAAAAGGGAUUAACCUAAAAAAAAAAAAAGGGAUUAACCUGACCAAAAGUCCCCAAGCCAGUCCUGAAUCUACACAUAUUUCUGAGGAUAUGGGAAGCUACCUUCUAGCAACAGCAAUAACAAACACUCACUCCCACAGCACCAGAGAUGCAGCCGGGCCACUGACCUCUCAAUUAUCUGUAUGUAGAUUAACAUUAAUAAUAUUCUGAAAUCCAAUUCUGGCUGCUCUCUGUUGAUCAGCAAACCCAAGAGAGCCUCUUCUAACAGCUCAGUGAAUUUUAAUAUCAAGCAAGCAAAAACAAUUAGAAGAAAACUCAUUGCCAAAAUAACAAGUCAUUCUCUAGUGUCUCCUCUAGUGUUUUCUCUCACCUGGAAAAGCUUCUGCAGCUCAGGAACUUUGUUUUUCCCAGCAUAAUCAUACGCAGUAAAAUCAGAACUCAGUUUGGUGGGUGUGGCAAAUAUGAUAGGCGGUGCUUCUGUGGAAACCACAGGCCUUAAUCCCUGUAAGAAAAAGGAAAAUGUCAAGUUGAAAGCAUGUCUGGGCAUAUGAACAACCUUCAACAAGCAGGCUAUCUGGAAUCAUGGAGGCAGUCAUUCAACCACACAAGAGGGAAGGAAAGGCUCUCCAAGUUUGCAUUACAAGGCCUUUAAUUUUAAGAUUUAAAGUCCUUAAACUUUUAACAAAACACUUUCCCACAGCAAACCCCAUCAAGAAUUCCCUGCCAUUAAGAUGGGGGUUUGAGGUGAGGGAGAGAGAAGCAAACAAUCACAAAAGCCCAAUCUGAGCUUCCAGAAAACCUAUUAUGUCUACCUUCCUAUCAAAUCAAUAAAACAUUUUUAAGAUUUUUAUUUUUGAGAGAGUGAGUGAGAGAGAGAGAGAGAGAGAGAGAGAGAAAAUGAGUGGGGGAGGGGCAGAGGGAAGGAGACACAGAACCCAAAGCUGGCUCCAGGCUCUGAGCUGUCAGCACAGAGCCCAAUGUAGGGCUCAAACUCAUGAACGGUGAGAUCAUAACCUGAGCUGAAGUCAGGUGCUUAACUGACUCUGCCACCCAGGUGCCCCUCAAUAAAACAUUUUUAACCUGUAUGAACUUUUGGCUACAUUUCAAAAGGGACCUGGCUGUCCCUUUUCUCCCCCUGGGUGAGCUGAUGUACUAACACAGGAUUUCUAAACCCAGAGUAGACUUCAGAAACUUUCCAGACACACUGUAAAGAAAAAGCCCAAUCUGGAAGAGCCUGCAAUGGUAAGAGACUUGUCUUUCAGGACCAGAAACAAAAAAAUUAGAGCAACUGAAAUUUCCGGCAUUAAUAAAUCCAUAAGUUAAAAAACAAAUAAUAAAACUUAAGGAAACUUCAAUGUUCUCAUCUGUGACAUAUAUACAAAAGUAAUAGUAUCUACCACUGAGAAAACAGCAUGAGAUAAUAAAUAUGUGCUUAACAUUGAAUAUUUACAGUCAAUAAAUAUAAACAGAAGGAGACUUGGGAGUUAACACAGGUUUGCUAUUAGCAACUCCCAGAGCCAUAUGGAUAGAAGGACCCACAGGCUUAAAAAGAACUUAAAGGGGAAGAAAAACAAAGUACUGUUACAGGCUAUGCCAAGUAAAAGAAGCUAGUCAAAAGACCACAGAUUAUAUGAUCCCAUUCAUAUGAAAGUCCAAAGCAAGAAAACCUAGAAAAACGGAAAGUAGAUAAGCAGCUGCUUAGGGCUGGGGAAUAAGCAAUAGGGGGGUGAUAACUGCAGGUUAUAGGUUUCUUCUCAAGGGCAUGAAAAUGCUCUAAAAUUAAUGUGGUAAUGGUUGCACAUGGUUACACUAAAACACUGAGCUGUACACUUUAAAUGAGUGAAUGUAUGGUAUGUGAAUUAUAUUUCAAUAAAGCUAUUUAAAAAAAAAAGGAACCCAAGGGAAACUCUGGUUUUCUAUCUGAUGGAGUAAAUCUACAGUGGCAAAUACAGAUAAAGAUGGUUCUCCAAAAUAACCUGCACAUUAAGAUAGGAGCUAGAGUUACAAACCAAUAAAACACAUCCUUUUAUAUUAAAUUCUAACUACAAAAAAUAAAAACUUAAAGUUAGGAAGCAGAGUUCAAGCCCACCCUCUUCUAUUUUACAGAUGAAGGAGGAAAAAAACCCUUUGCUCAAAUUAACAUAGUUGUCAGACCCCUGGUUCUUGAUCUCUUCAAAGAAAUAUAAAUUUACCUAUAACUGACAAGACCUAAAGAUCAUAUUAUUGAAAGCCUCAAUGAUACUCCUACCAGGUAAGCAUUAGGAUCAACAGGGCAACAAAAAAGUAUUAAAGCAAACUUGGGUUUCGGUCCUAGACGGCAGCAUAGAAAGACGCUGAACUCACCUCCUCCCAGGAACACACCAGAUCUACACCUACAUAGAGAGCAAUUCCUCCUGAAUAACAACUGAAGGCUGAUUCAACAGCUUCCACACAACAAAGGAUAGCGUGACCACACAGAGAACAGCUGGAGACAGAGAUGGGGGGAAGGGGGGUGUUAACAGUAGAAAUGUAACAACAGGAAUCCCACCCUGAUAGGAGGAACUGAAGUAGGGAGGGAUAGCACAGAUAGGCCUGCACAGAUUCACCCAACCUGAGCCAUGGCAAAAAAACCCAAAAAAAACAAAAAACAAAAAACCGCACACACACAACAUAAACAGUAAAUAGACUGUAAGUGAAGGAAACCCAUUUAUUAACCCUAGAGCAACUACUAAAUGGUAGGGGAACUGUUAGAACUCUCUUUGGUUAGAAGGUGCUAGCAAGCACCAUUAUGUUCCCCCCUCUACCUUGAUAGUGCAGAUGGGAGCAGGCACUCUAGCCAGCCUGUACCCUCUAGCCCCAGGCCCUAGCCCACACACCAGCUCCAGGUGUCCCCCACCACAUGCACCUGCCUCACUUCCAACAGUCCCACCAAGGUGCUACCCCAGCCUGCACCAACUACAGCCCUAGCUAUCUCACCAAGGUGGCCCAGGCAAGAAGCACCCUGGGACACCCGGGCCUGCAUCUGCUUCAGCUCCAGCCAGCCAGGGUACUUCCUAUGCAGAGCACCCCAACCCAUACCUGCCCUACCAGAAGCUCUUUCAGCCAUCCCACUAGGGAGAGGCCCAAGGUGGAGAGCCUGAGGACAACCCAGCUCCUGCUGUCCCAGUAGGGCAGCACUGGAACCAAGCACUCCUGAACCACCUGGUCUGAACUCACCCCAGCUCCCACCAUCCCACAGGGAAUGUGCCCUCAGCCCAUGCCCACUACAGCUCUAGCCAAACAAAGCCACCAGGCACACACAGUCUAUACAAGGCACAUUCCUACACAAAGCUACCCCUUUAAGACUGGAGAAGGUGGGGCGCCUGGGUGGCGCAGUCGGUUAAGCGUCCGACUUCAGCCAGGUCACGAUCUCGCGGUCCGUGAGUUCGAGCCCCGCGUCAGGCUCUGGGCUGAUGGCUCAGAGCCUGGAGCCUGUUUCUGAUUCUGUGUCUCCCUCUCUCUCUGCUCCUCCCCCGUUCAUGCUCUGUCUCUCUCUGUCCCAAAAAUAAAUAAACGUUGAAAAAAAAAAUAAAAAAAA
rnacentral:lncRNA from 1 species